CCCUUAGAUGUUCUGGGCCGCACGCGCGCUACACUGAUGCAUUCAACGAGUCUAAAACCUGCUCUGAUAGGGGUGGGUAAUCUUUUGAAUGUGCAUCGUGAUUGGGAUAGAUGAUUGCAAUUUUUCAUCUUCAACGAGGAAUGCCUAGUAAACGCAAGUCAUCAGCUUGCAUUGAUUACGUCCCUGCCCUUUGUACACACCGCCCGUCGCUCCUACCGAUUGAAUGAUCCGAUGAAUAUCAUGGAUUGAGGAUGUAAGCAGGUUCGCCUGUCUUCAUCUUCGAGAAGUGAAGUAAAUCUUACCAUUUAGAGGAAGGAGAAGUCGUAACA
rnacentral:rRNA from 1 species